CUUGACCACCUGCUUGCGCGAUGCGUGUUCUCCAAGAUAACUUGGCACGAGAUUCUGUCUUGGUGCCGGCUACCUGUAGCCAUCCCAAGCUCGACUGAUGGAUUCUUCUCCUGGUGGUCCGCAACCAACAGCUCGGCUCCGGCUCAUAUUCGCAAGGGGACGAACUCCCUCAUCGUCCUCACCGCCUGGUCCAUCUGGAAACAUCAAAACGAAGCCGUCUUCGACAACGCCCCACCAUCCAACAAUGGUCUAGCCCGCACAAUCAAAGAUGAAGCUCGUUUGUAGGCUCGUGCUGGGGCCAAAAGGCUUGAAACCAUCAUUCCUGUAACAUAA
rnacentral:rRNA from 1 species